CCUACGGGAGGCAGCAGUGAGGAAUAUUGGUCAAUGGGCGCGAGCCUGAACCAGCCAAGUCGCGUGAGGGAUGACGGUCCUACGGAUUGUAAACCUCUUUUGCCGGGGAGCAAGCGUGCGUUCGUGAACGCGCGUCGAGAGUACCCGGAGAAAAAGCAUCGGCUAACUCCGUGCCAGCAGCCGCGGUAAUACGGAGGAUCCGAGCGGUAUCCGGAUUUAUUGGGUUUAAAGGGAGCGUAGGCGGAUUGUUAAGUCAGUGGUAAAAGUUCGGGGCUCAACCGUAACAGUGCAGUGGAACUGGCCAGUUUUGGGUGGAGUAGAGUAGGGCGGA
rnacentral:rRNA from 1 species